rnacentral:rRNA from 1 species
UACGGGGGGGGCAAGCGUUGUUCGGAAUUACUGGGCGUAAAGGGCUCGUAGGCGGCCAACUAAGUCAGACGUGAAAUCCCUCGGCUUAACCGGGGAACUGCCUCUGAUACUGGAUGGCUUGAGAUUGGGAGAGGGAUGCGGAAUUCCAGGUGUAGCGGUGAAAUGCGUAGAUAUCCGGAGGAACACCGGUGGCGAAGGCGGCUUCCUGGACCGACACUGACGCUGAGGCGCGAAAGCUAGGGGAGCAAACGGG